UACAGAGGGUGCGAGCGUUAAUCGGAAUUACUGGGCGUAAAGCGUGCGUAGACGGUUAUUUAAGUCGGAUGUGAAAGCCCCGGACUCAACCUGGGAAUUGCAUUCGAGACUAGAAUAGCUAGGGUGCGUAGAGGGAAGCGGAAUUCCGGUGUAGCGGUGAAAUGCGUAGAUAUCGGAAAGGAACAUCAGUGGCGAAAAGCGGCUU
rnacentral:rRNA from 1 species